rnacentral:rRNA from 1 species
CGGGGGGUGCAAGCGUUGUUCGGAUUUAUUGGGCGUAAAGCGCGUGUAGGCGGUUUGUUAAGUCUGAUGUGAAAGCCCUGGGCUCAACCCAGGAAGUGCAUUGGAUACUGGCAGACUUGAAUACGGGAGAGGGUAGUGGAAUUCCUGGUGUAGGAGUGAAAUCCGUAGAUACCAGGAGGAACACCGGUGGCGAAGGCGGCUACCUGGACCGAUAUUGACGCUGAGACGCGAAAGCGUGGGUAGCAAACAGGAUUAGAUACCCUGGUAGUCCACGCCGUAAACGAUGAGUACUAGGUGUUGCGGGUAUUGACCCCUGCAGUGCCGCAGCUAACGCAUUAAGUACUCCGCCUGGGAAGUACGGUCGCAAGACUA